rnacentral:misc_RNA from 1 species
GUUAACCAACACAUAAUCACUCCAGCCUUCUCUUUUUCUUUUUCUUUUUUCUUGUUGUUGAACGUACAUUUCUUGAUCCUCGGAUCACCCCAAGUACAUACUUUUUUUUUUCUCUGCAUCUUCUGAAAGUUUUCCCAGCUUCUGGAUCUUUUCGAAGCAGGAAGAAACAAAGGAUGGCGUUCACUGGGACUCUUGACAAAUGCAAGGCUUGUGACAAGACUGUU